GGAACCGAUAUUUUAAUGAAUUUGGAAGGAAUACACAGAGCUAUCGAAAUUUCAUGCGACGUUACAAAACAUUAGUGUUCUCUGAGCUAUCGAAAGAGAAACAACUUAAUUCUUUAACAUUUAUAUAUUUUAUUCAAAUAUUGGCCUCAGUUUUCGGUUUCAGAUUUUUUUCUAUUCCAUGAAGUGAACUUUGGUAAUAAAUUUCAAGUGAAACUGAGAGGAAACGUGUUUCGUAUAAAAUUCGCCCAAGACUGAAUUGAUUCCUAUUUAUUAAUUGGUAUCGUCCAAAGGUCUUCAAUCGAAAUUAGCUUUAAAGAUGAAUUCUGUUCGAAUAGCGGGGAUUCUGUUGGGCUGCGCAAUUUCCAUGGGGUGGUACAUUCAAUUUAUCUGUCAAUUGUAUAUUUCAUACAGUUCAAUACUUGAAAACCUUUUAUGCGGGAUUAAUUGUUUCGCAUGGACUGCAUGGACAAUUGGAACAUUCAAAAUUAAUUUCAAAUAUAAAACGAUGUUUCUAUGGUUAUCGAUGAGUUGGAUUAGCAUACAUUUCGUCGUUUUUCUUUUGAUUUUCUUCCCCCUAGAAAAGAUAGAGAUUCCUUUUUAUAGGAUCUCGUUCAUAUUUGUAAUUGUGAUACAUUCGAGCCUUGUCAAACUUUCGCAUCUGAUCUUCUUAUCUUUGGAGGAUGAUUCAUGGUCGUCAUAUGAGUGCAGAUAUGUGAAUACAUCAAAUCAAAACAGACGACACCGGCGUUAUGAUGAUAUUACUGGUUCUGUAUCUGUAUCCGUUGACAACCUAGAUGACAAUAAUACAACACAUCAUCAUUGGACGACAGAUUUACACCAUUCUGAUUCGCAUGACACACAUCGGGCACACUCUCACUCCACUCAUCACGAUACACACACAUUUUCGCAUGAUACAUCUCAUCAUGGUUGCGACUCGGGUGGUGGAUAUGAUGGUGGUUGCGACUCGGGUGGUGGAUAUGAUGGUGGUUGCGACGCAGGUGGUUAUGAUUGAAAAAACUGAUAUGAGCGACCAAUGGAUUUAUUUAUAAAUGCAUUGUUACAAACCACUAGAACUUAGAUUUUGCAAUAAAGUAACAGGAACAGAUAUGUACAUAGGUUCGUCGUGUCUCUCAGUGUUGUCAACAUUCAAAUGUUUUCUAAAUGAACGUAACUUAACUGUUGAAAUUGAAAAUU